rnacentral:misc_RNA from 1 species
CUGAAGAGAUGAUAAGAGUUGUUUUUGAGCUGACUCUCAGGAGUAUGUGCUCGCUCUAUCGCUUUCUCUACUCUCCACUGUGCACCUGUUGUAGGCUACGAUCUUUCAGCUCGAAAGGGUUGAAUUUCAGAGGGCUUUAGUAGUUCAUUUGCUUGACCUCGACUUCGUAGCCUAUGUCUUACAUACACUCUGUCAAAGUAUAUGAAUGUGUAUUGUUGGUCUUUGACCGAUAAACUAUAUA